AGUGAACGCUGGCGGUAGGCCUAACACAUGCAAGUCGAACGGCAGCACAGUAAGAGCUUGCUCUUACGGGUGGCGAGUGGCGGACGGGUGAGGAAUACAUCGGAAUCUACUUUUUCGUGGGGGAUAACGUAGGGAAACUUACGCUAAUACCGCAUACGACCUACGGGUGAAAGCAGGGGAUCUUCGGACCUUGCGCGAUUGAAUGAGCCGAUGUCGGAUUAGCUAGUUGGCGGGGUAAAGGCCCACCAAGGCGACGAUCCGUAGCUGGUCUGAGAGGAUGAUCACCCACCCGGGAACUGGGACACGGUCCAGGGUCCUAAGGGAGGCAGCAGUGGGGAAUAUUGGACAAUGGGGGGAAGCCUGGUCCAGCCAUACCGCGUGGGUGGAGAAGGCCUUCGGGUUGUAAAGCCCUUUUGUUGGGAAAGAAAAGCAGCCGGUUAAUACCCCGCUGUUCUGACGGUACCCAAAGAAUAAGCACCGGCUAACUUCGUG
rnacentral:rRNA from 1 species